ensembl:lncRNA
CUCUGGCAGAGUGGUUUUAAUUCCUUGUGAGCGGAGUUACAAGUUGUUCCACUGUGGCUAGUAAAUGAUAAGCGACGGGGGCCAGGGUCAUAUUUCAACAUGCGCUGCAGCCAAUGAAAGGCUCAGGCGGAGCUCCCCGUCCCAAGUGGAGAACACCUGUAUUAACCUGCAGUCAGUCGCAGGCCGUCCCCAUAGUAUCAGCAACUCUGAAGUGCACUCAACUUUACUGGAUCAGCCCUGACACACAAAACCGAGCAGUACACAGACAACCCGCUGUAGACGAGGCCGAUGCCAGAGCCGAUAUCUGCCUCCUGUAGACGUCAACAUCAUCCAGGAAGGAUAGCACCCUGACCCCCCGUGGCUCAAUCAAAUCUACGCAAAUGCACCACUUUAUCCGAGCAUGCAGCUUAUCGUCACACGAGUGUGUGUGUGUUUCUGGGAUCCAUGGUAUUCUCUCCUUGUGUUGGUGUAAGACAGCUUCCAUUCUUUCCCGACGAUCAUUACCGAGAGGAAACAGGGACACAAUGGCCGACCAAUGACACUGCUUGGUGGGAAAGUCCUUCCCAAGGCACCAAUGUGAAGCCGGCCCAGGAUAUUAUCUGCCGGAACAGCGUGGACCCGGGUCUAUGCGCGCGGUUCACCCCGCUUCCACGGUUAAAAAUACUGUUGAUUGUACUGCGGCACCCAGCUGCCUGCUGGGGCUUUGUUUAGGAACAGCUGGGUUCUGCAUCUGUGUUGUUUCGACCACAACACGUCUGUAUUUUGGGCUCCGUGCCAUAAGGAAAUGGGCCGGUUUCUCAAGACCAACAGGGGAAUAACAGUUGCUCCGCAGCCAAAGUAAAUAGGUGUCCCGCUCGGUUUGAUCACGUGAGGGUGAUAAGCACACUGCUGUUCCAAUGAAUCCGCCGUGGAUUACAGUGUUUGGACUGGAUUUGAAGAUGAUGCUUUUGUUGCUCCUAUGCCUGCUACUGCCAUCUUCUACGGCUUUAUCAAAGGAGGUUGAAGGAUCUGCUGAUGAGCCCGAUGAUGAGGACCUUAUCCGUGCCGUGGAUGUGCAACCCACAAAUGAAUACCAGGAUCCUGACAUGGGCAAAACUACAGGGGAAGAAGAAUCAGACCAGUUUGUGGGGAUUGUCGUUGGUGUGGCUGUGGCCAUGGUGGCUCUGUCUGUCGCUGUGAUAAUUGCAAUACUGUUGGUCCGACGCAACAUGCAAAGGCGUCAGCAAGGCGUGUACUCGGUGCCCGCAGACCAGGACCAGAAGGUCUCUGUGUAGCUCCUGGGUUCCAGCCCCCCAGGACCCAGUAGAACACCGAAAGGAGGACCAAUGCACUGACCACAUAUUUCACUCACAGGGUUAAGGGUUUAACCCCGGACAGGUUCAGGGUUUGACCCGGACAGGUUCAGGGUUUGACCCCGGACAGGUUUAGGUUAAGGCGCCAUCUUGCAUAUCCCUGUAUACUUGUAUUUCUCGCUGCUGAUCUGUGCCACGCUCAUAUUAAUAAUUAGAAAGUGAUGUUUGCCUUUCUGUCAUGCUUCAAUCCUGCAUUUUUGCAUUAUAAUAUGAACACACCAUUUCACUUGGGAACAUUUGGAACACAUUAAGCCUUUUAAUAAGAUUCUAUUUAAAGAUGAAACGCGGGAGCCUUUAAAUGUUUCUUUAAAUGGAACGGCUUCUGUUGUGAGCGGGAUUUCUCCCAUUCCUCUCCGGCUAAGGUGCGUGGUGGAAACAUUGAUGUGGGGGAUCUGUUGGGACAGACCUGCCACGAGCGGAACAGGCUUAUUUCAAAGACAAACCGUGCUAAUCCACAGCAGAGUGGCUCAGUUCUCACUUCGGUUUCCUCUUCAUUUGCCUGACAUCCCCUGUUCUUCACCCAGUAGGAGUGGCAGGAGGGGAUGGGAGAUAAAGCUGGCUUUCCCCACAACUCAGGCCAGGCUCAACUAGUGUGUGUGUGUGUGUGUGUGUGUGUGUGUGUGUGUGUGUGUGUGUGUGUGUGUGUGUGUGUGUGUGUGUGUGUGUGUGUGUGUGUGUGUGUGUGUGUGUGCGUCUGUGUGUGUGUGUGUGUGUGUGCAGUGCUAGUUAGAACAUCCUGUUGCGAGGCAGUGAAUUAAUCGACCGCCAUGAAUGAUGACGUUUUUUUUCCCCCCACUUCCUCCAGAAGACAAUCUCUCCAACGUCCUCAGCCUGGAAGAUUGUAAAUAAAAUAAAUAGCUCUAUGAUGGCUGGGGGUUGGGAAGAUGGGGUUUUAUAACCGGGACAGAGAGACAAGAUGGGGGUUGGGGAGAGAUUUUUAUACCCGUGACAGAAAGACAAGGGGGAGGGGCGGGGCAGAAUUUUCAAACAGCUUGUAAUAGACCUCUGAAGAAUAAGUCCCGGCUCCGAACCUCCCGGAUCCCUCAGUCAAAUGUCCAUGGGAAAUAACAUGUGGUUGUAGAAUGAUCGUACAUAACAAACUCUGUACUCAGCCUUGGGGGCGGGACUUAUUCUUCAGAGGUCUAUGGCUGAUCACAUUCAAACCUGUUGGCCUGAUAUCACCCCUUUAAGGUGCGCUUCUGGGGUCUCCGACCUGGUCUCACCCUUUGGAUGUGGUAUAUUGUUACGCCUACGAUCGGUUAAAAAUUGUAUGUAUAGGCAUUGUAUCUCAUGGAAAAAAUAAGACUGUAUAUAUAUAUAUAUAUAUAUAUAUAUAUAUAUAUAUAUAUAUAUACAAAUAUAUAUGUAAAAAAGGUUUCUCUUUUUAUGAUGUCAUUCAGGCAUGCGCUCUCUGCGUGCUUACUAUGCAAGCUCUAUCUAAUACUACUAAACCAUCUAACCAUAUAAGAUAGUAUAGUUGUUUUACAUCAUUGCUAUACUAUGUCAUUCUACUAAACUAUCUAACAAUAUGGGAUAGUGCAGUAGUUUUACAUAGCUGCUAUACUAUCUAAUACUAUUAUGCUAUAGUUACUUUACAUUUUGUUAUUACCUGUGCUACCAAUACUCUUAAGCAAAGGGAAACAGCUGUUGCUCCUCGCUCUGUGUUCGCUCCACCUGGUGGUAAAGCAAUACCCUCAUUUCAAAUGUUCUUGAUCAUAUCAGCAAUAAAAUGUCUGUUUGCCAUUUUCAUGCUUUUUUAAAAAUAAAUAUAUAAUGACAAAAACGGGCUCCUAAUAAAAACAAACCACUUGUAUUUCAGUCUAAAGUGGCUUGCUGUUUUCUUGUUACGCCAGCCAAGACAUGCAGCAUUACACAUACAGGUAAUCUCUUAAGUAUUACUGUAUUGGUCGUUACUGUGACAAACACGUGUCAUUACUAUGACUAAUAGAGACGUUGGAAUACAGACACACACCUUCCCAGAACCGAAAACAGAACUGAUAAUUUUAUUUUAUUUACAUCCUGACGUCGGCUGAUGAUUUCAAUGUAAUCAAAAACUGAAGUUAUCUUGAAUAAUAAAAAUUAUGAUUCGCCACUAUCGGGCUGUUUACAACAUCAAACAAAAUGUGGAUAGCAUUGUUUCUGUUGGCUCAAAGCUAACCAAAUAUUGAAAAGUUGAACAAAAUAGUCAAGUCAAAAAAGAUGGCUGAUACUACAAGAACCGUCACGUGUCCCAUCGCGUCUCAAGUAGAUUCCCCUUAACGGGUACCUAGAAGCAACGUGCAUGGGUCCUUACAAGUAUCAAAAGCAAUAUAUGUGGGUCUUAUUAAGGUUUGGUUAUCUCUGUUAACCUAACUAAAGGCACACGUGUUUGUUUAGUUAGGUUUAGUAAGCUGGGUUAAAAAAACAAAGACACACAUGUUUCAUUUUGGUUUAGUCAGCGGGUUAACUCAAGACGCAUACACUUGUGUCUAUAGUUAGGUCUAAGUUAGGUUCAGUUAUGUGCUUUAGUGAUAUUUAGUUAGCUAGGUAAACUAAAGACACGUAUGCUUGUGGCUAUAGGGAGGUUCAAAAAGCAGGUUAACUGAACUAAAUGUAUGUCUUUAGUUAGGUUAAGUUAGCUUGGUAAAUAAACUGAAGACACGCUCAGUUGUGUCAUUAUGUUGAGUUAGCUAGGCUAACUUUAAUGGAGGUCAACCAGAGUCCUGCAGUCUUCCCUGUCUGUUUUAUUCAUGUUGACUUCAAGUCUUCAGUGUUUUUCCAUUCUUAGGCAUGAGGCUUAGGCUCAUGGUGCUGAGGCUUAGUCAUACAAAGCACACCCAUGUGCACACAGUUGUGUAAACACACACAUGUCAUGCACACAUACAAACACACACGCACAGACACAACACACACACACACACGCGCGCGCACACACACACACACACACACACACACACACACACACACACACACAGGCAAGGAUUUUAUUUAGGUAAUUGUACUUUACUGAUGCUUUCUGCACACACAACUCCAAAGUUAGUCUACACUUUACAUAACUCUGCAGAAACUCUGUCCUCAUUUUUUCUCCAUUUGGUAUGACCUGAAAAACACACACACAGAAAAACAAAAAAAACACGCACAUAGACAAACAGGUACACCCAGGAACGCCCACAUUUACACACGUGCAAAGCAGAAAGGCAAAGCAAACAGCAAAGGAUUAAUAAGUCAUGCAGUGACGUUCCACAGAACUAGGAAAAAUGAUUAACACUUGACGCCUCGCUGUUUAAUCCAUUAUUGCAUUGCGCAACACAAGUGCUGAAUCCGGCCCGGCUGAGGCGUUCAGCACCACGCAUACCCAGUCAGCAUUCUGUCACCCGUGCACACAUAUAUUUGAAUUGAUCCUUUAGUGUACACACACCCGUCUAAAUGCUGCAUUUCAUCAGUACUACAAAUCUUCAGGCACAAUCAACUCGUCAGAGCUACCCGGCCCCAUCACUGGUAGCCCGAGACCCCGGCCUAACCGUCAGCUUCCUUCCAACGAUGGAUGUACUGGGAUGACUGUAUGAUUGAUUGUAUGUAUAAUAUGUUUGAUUGAAUUGUAAUGUCUAACGUUUGCGUAUCUGUAUGACGGUACCACAUUGUGCACUGCACUUUUAAUUACUCUCUUUAUGAACUUUGGGCCCCCCUCUCAAAAGCUUUCAAUAGCUUACUUGUGGGGAUCCAUUCAUGCAUGCCAAAGGAUCAUGCGGAUGUCUAACUGGUCUGAAUUGCAGAUGUUUACCAUUUUGGCAAUGUAUGAAUAUGAACUAAUCUUGAAACUUGAAACUUAGAAAGUGUGAGUAGAGGACCAUCAGGGAAGACGACCACAGCUCCUUACUUUGUGGCCCUCAGACGGCGGCAUUUUGGCAGGCGUCCUCCGGGUCCGCCUGAGAGCAAAUAGGAGCAGAGAAGGGGGGGGGGGGGAGGCGUCUUAGCGUAAAUGUUGGGAGCGGUGCAUUAGUACAAAUCACGAUACGAUAUGACACAACUUUAUUAAUCCCCCGUAGGAUAAAUUAGUUUGUUGCAACAGCCCAGCAGCAGUGGAAAAACACAGGAUAAAAAAAUACCAUACAAUACAACAAGAAUACAAAGUACUAAUGCAAACAAAAAUAGACGCUAAAGGUAAAUGCUAAACGAAAUGCUAAAGUAAGGAGAAGAGUGUAUAAACAAUAUAAAUGAUCAAUUCUAAAAAGUGCAAAGUGUGAACCACGGUAGGACUGAGGAGAGAGGGAGCUCCGGUAGGACUGAGGAGAGAAGGAGCUCCGAGCACUCACAGCCCAGCACCAGGAGGCCGAGGAGGAAGAGCACCGCCGCCACCACCAGCCCGGCCUUCCGCAGAGUAAAGUAAUCUGCACACAAAGAACAACACCACGUCGCAGAGCCGCCACGGCAGGGUCCUGUUGUUGCUUCAUAAAAACCCCAUCCAAACGAUAUCACCUACCAUACGUGAAUCGUUUAUCCAGCUCGUCGAAAUCUAUAGAGAGACAAGGGAGAGAAAGUCUGAGCUGUCUGCAGUUGGCGUAUUGUGAGUCUGCGCCGCGGGGGGGAUCCAAGUGUCUGUACACGGUCGUCUGUUGUUUGCACAGAGUGUGUUGGCAGGGGGAGAGCAGGUGGGUCCCAGCCGCCCUGGUGGGCUUCUGAUCCUGUCAGGCUUGAUACGCCCAUCCAUUAAAGGUAAGGUGUCGUAGAUACUCCGAUUAAUGGCAAGUUAAAGGGUAAAAGAUACGCCAUCAGAGUAGAGGUAAAGUAAGGUGGAAUAGAAGUUAAAUUAUUGAUACUCUGUCAGAUUAAAGGUAAAUUAAUGUGAUUAGUACUCGGUCAUUUGAAGGAAAGGUAAAGUGUCAUAGGUACUCUGUCAGAUUAAAAGUAAAGAAAGAAUACUCGGUCAGAUUAAAGGUAAAGGAAAGGUGAAUAUGCACUCUGUCAGAUUAGUGGUAAAGUAAAGUGGAAUAGGAACUCUUAUCAGAUUAAAGGUAAGUAAAGUGGAAUAGGAACUCUAUCAGAUUAAAGGAAAAGUAAAGUGGAUUAGGUACUUUAUCAGAUUAAAGGUAAAGAAAGGUUUAAAAAGUACUUUAUCAGAUUAGAGUUAAAGUAAGGUGGAAUAGUUACCUUUGUUGGUGAAAAAUUCUUUUUGUUUCCAGGGUGUUUGGGGUUUCAUAGUUGGGGAAGAGUUUGUCUCUAUGGAUGAAAUACAAUCAAUUAAAUCACAAUCCAUUUCCCUUAAUGAUCAUCGUUAUCUUCUACUGUCCAAGCAACAUGUUCAACUGGUUAUUUUAAUUUAAUUUAAUUUAUGAUGUACUAUUGUAUGAUGAAACUUCUGAAGCGGCAAACUUUCCCUCUCUGACUUUCUGUUUCUGAACACACCCUUCACUGUUCUAUAAUUCAACAGAAUAAUGAAGAGUGAACAGUUUUUCUAAUUACCUGAUAACAAUAGAUAAAAGACUCAUAUUCCAGGUAGCCUUUUUCAGCCACACAUGGAAGAGAAACAUCACACAAAUCCUUUUCGUAGGAAUUAUCCACCGCUACAGUAACACACCGCUAACCAUCGUAUGCUACAGAAAGAUUGCUCUGUACCUGGUUUGGUUGCUGUAGGCUUACUGGCUUCGGGCGUUGUUGACUUGUUGACAGCUAAGGGGGGGACCACAAACAUUACCUCCAUUAAAGGUUUGAACGAUACGGACCAUGGUUCUACCUGAUGGAUGUGUGAGCUGCACCUGGUUGGGUGAUCGCUGGUGGGAUUGAAAUGGGACCCGUUGUCAUACUGAUGUUUCCAAGUCCAGUCUUCUGAGGGAUCACAUCUCUUGUGGUUCUGCUCACAGCCGUAAUGUUGUCUGCAAGGCCUGAAACUGUCCUGAUUGUUAGACGGAUAUGCAUAUAUAUAUAUAUAUAUAUAUAUAUAUACA